rnacentral:rRNA from 1 species
CCUACGGGUGGCAGCAGUGGGGAAUAUUGGACAAUGGGCGCAAGCCUGAUCCAGCCAUGCCGCGUGAGUGAUGAAGGCCCUAGGGUUGUAAAGCUCUUUUGUACGGGAAGAUAAUGACGGUACCGUAAGAAUAAGCCCCGGCUAACUUCGUGCCAGCAGCCGCGGUAAUACGAAGGGGGCUAGCGUUGCUCGGAAUCACUGGGCGUAAAGGGUGCGUAGGCGGGUUUUUAAGUCAGAGGUGAAAUCCUGGAGCUCAACUCCAGAACUGCCUUUGAUACUGAAAGUCUUGAGUAUGGGAGAGGUGAGUGGAACUGCGAGUGUAGAGGUGAAAUUCGUAGAUAUUCGCAAGAACACCAGUGGCGAAGGCGGCUCACUGGCCCAUAACUGACGCUGAGGCACGAAAGCGUGGGGAGCAAACAGGAUUAGAUACCCCAGUAGUC